CCUGAGAGUAGACGAAAAGGUAGAGGUGAAGGUGGUGAUUAGUUGGCACGAUGAUCUAACGGAUGAAUCACUGCAACUGCAACUGCAGCAGCCCCAGGCCCAGCCCCAACACCAGUCAGGGACAGGUUGUUGCUGCUGCUGCCCAGAGAAAUCAAUGCUGGCUGGCUGGCUGGAUGCUGAGGCUGCCAAUUAACCCAAUAACAAGGCCCGCGAAUCGUGUCAUCAGAGGACACAGUAGCUGUAGCUGUAGCCUUCACGUGUAUCCUUUAUGUGUCCCCUCCCUGCCACUAUAUGUCACUGUGUGUGUGUGGAUUGCGCACGUAAACUUGGCCUCCAAAAAUUCCGCGCAGGCAAAACAAACUCUACAGUACAACGCAGGAGGCUGGCUCCCAGACACAACAACCAAGGCAACCCACCCACUCCAAAAAGGUAGAGGGGGGAGGGGGAUAGGGAUGUUGCAGGCUGUGUGUCUCGCCUUUGUUUUCGAUUGUUGCAGCCUGCAAUUGUGGCACGGCACGGACGUUACUUCACCAAAAAAACACACACACACCAACAUAGACAUCUGGGUGUGUGUGGUGUGUGGCGUAGGGUGUGUGUGUGUGUACAUCAGCGAAUUGAUGCCUUUGCGCGCCUGUGUAGAUGUCGAUGUCGAUGCGUGCUGGAUCUUCCUGGUUCUAUGAUGAGCACCAGAGCCAUUGGCAACGCCAGCU